rnacentral:sRNA from 1 species
UUUUUACUAUAAAUUCGAUAGUCGACUUGCGAGUUCCUAACGGGCACGUGUUUUAUUUAAUGUCGUUCUCUACAUUUAUAACAUUUAUGGACGUGCUUUGCUACGUUUAUUAAAAAUGAAGCUAAAGUGUUUUUUCACACGCUUUUUAAAUUUUUUAAACUAUGGAGGAAAUGAAUGUAGUCCCGGUGGAAUUCCAUGACAAGGAAUUGCUAUAAAAUAGCAGGAAUAUUGGUAAUUUGCUGAAUAAAAAUUUUCUUGGAAAAGACCAACUCUUGUUCCAAAAUGGGCUGAGUAAAAGUCGGAACUGUUGCUUACCGUAGGGACAUAAAAAAUUUGUUUAACACAUCUCAAAUGCGCUUGUCGUGGGAAGGCAGGGAAUGCUUGGACGAUUACACUGUUGGGCCUGAAUUAAUAAUAUGCAAAAUAAAUAAAAUAAUAUGGAUGGAUCUGGAAGGGAUGAUGUAAAAAUUUUUCUCAAAAUCGGACGAGUUUCAGGUAGUUGAUUGAAGAUGGCACACGAACAUGAUUUAAUCUUGGCAUUCAAAUCGUUGGAUCGUAGAAAUGCAAAGUGGAAAUGUGUUGGUGUUGGACUUGAUGUAUAUAACACAAGACGAUAUAAUCAACACUUUCAUGGACGUGUUUCCCGCUAUAACAAACUUAAAUUAUUUAAUAUAUAACGUUAUAAAUAUUUUCAUAUUCUUCGAUUGUAAAAAAAUGUACGCAAGAUUAUUCCAAAGAAAUAUUUAACCAAAUAAACAUAUUGAC